rnacentral:lncRNA from 1 species
UCAUCUUCUCCAACAACGAACCCUAAUCCCGCCGCCACCAAACCCCACCGCCCUAGGGUGGCGCCGACGCCUCCAAUCACCACCAAAAUUACACCCUUCGUCUUUCUCACUCUCCUCUUCCAAUCUAUGGCAAGGAUUUCUUUCGAAUCAAACCCUAGCUGUUCGAAUAUGUGGUCGAAAGUUUUUCCCAAUACACAAAAGUGUCCAGACAAGCUGAGAUUGAUGCCAGGCAGUCUCGUCGUCCUCUUAUUCAUAAAUCUAGGGUCAGUUUCCGUCAAAUAUCUCCAGGCCAUCCCCAAAUUUAAAUCUAGGGUUCAAGCUUUUCUGCCAUUUGAGAGCUUCAUUUGCGAAUGAUUUUGCUUAAUAUAAUGAAUUUAUUUCGACCGAGGUAAACCCCUAAUAUUAGUCAAAGUUCGUUCCCUGAAAUCCUAUGUGCAUGGAUUUGUUUUAGUAAGUGACCUUCUCACUUCUUCCUAGUUUUUUAGUUCGACUCAUGUUUUAUCUCGUAAUUAAUUGUAGUUUUAGUUUCUGAAUAAGUUUAAUUAGUAAUUCGCUUGCAAGUUUCUGACAAAUUCAGAUUAUUAGUCAUUCAUUGGGAAAUUCAUGCUUAUGAUUAAUUGUUAGCUCAUGUUUCUAAACUUGUUUGAUUUUCGUCCUGUUUUAGUUUAGUCAAUCGUUAGUAAAUUGGUUGUGUUAAUUCAGUUCUAGUGCAAGUAAAUAGUGUCAGUCAAAUGUUUUUGUGAAAAUUGUUGCUUCUUGAUUAUCAUGAUAUUUUGAUUCUGUGAGUUGUUGGGAAUUUCAGCUGUAGAUUUCAUUUUUGAUUAAUUAGUUUAAUUAGCCAUUCAAAUAGAAGGCAUUAUGUAGAGAUUUGGGAUUUAUUUCUGGGUAGCUGAUUGACCUUUGGUUGAGCAGUAAUUUUAGGAGGUAUAAGGGGUAAUUUGGGCAUGGGAAAAGGGUAUUUUAUUUAGGAAUAGUAUUUUUAAAAUAGGGAAGUGGUAGUAUAGGAAUUGUAAUGGGAAUAGGACCUUCUAGAAUAGACUUUAGUAUAGUAUUUUGCAAAGAAGAGGAACUUACUUGAGUAAAAAGUCAGAAAUGAGAGGAUUAAAAUGAAAAUAAGGAGGGACUAAUAUUGCAAAUUAAAAAUAUGAGGGUCGCCUCAUUUGUGCCUAUAAACGAGCAUUUCCUUUACUUCAUUCACAAGUUGGGCAGCCUAAAAAUCCCCCACAAAUCCCUUUUCAAGUUUCAGACUUGAGAAUCAAAAUCUGAAAAGCCAACUUCAUUUUUAGCUCUUAGUUAUAUCAAAAAUCCAAAAACAAAACAAAAUGUAGUGAAAACUUCAAAUAAAAAUACUCUUACAUUGCAUUUUCUUGUUCAAUUUUGAAUUCAGGGAUUGGUUUUCAUCUCAUCUAGUUCAAUAUUCAUCAGCUCAGGUUUCUGGGAGAUUAGUGAUUGGUUUUCAAGAGGUUUUUGGCUUAUCUGAUUCAGUUCUGAGUAGAUCUGAUGGCUACUGUGUGAAUUUUAUCUUCUAGUUAUUGGUCUACAUUGUUUUUUGGUUUCUGAUCAUUCAAAGUUUUGGAGGUGUUAUUGAAUGAUUUUGAGGGAAUUUGGGGUUCAAGAAGGACUGUUUUAGGCUGUUUUUAUCAUCUAGGAAUUUCAAAAAUGGUUCUAGUCCAGUUUUGAGUUGGUCUGGGUGGUUUCAAAUAGCUUUGGUCUGAUAUCGGGUUCAUUCGGGGAUCAUUGGGAAUUUGUUUGAGUUUGUACGAUUGUGUACUGAAUUGGUCUAUUGCUAUUACUCUAUUUCGGAACAUUUCUGAGUUGUGAAACAUUGCUGGGCUGCUUGUAGUCAUUUGGUUAUUGCUGCUGACCUUAUUUCUCCUUUGUUCACUCUUCCAGGUACAUAUUUCGAGCCCCGUUGAUGUAUCAGUGCUGUUGAAAACAUGAAUAAAUAGAAGUUAUGCUCCUGAUGAUGUUGUCUAGUUUUUUUUCCAGCAUUGUUAAUUAUUACUGGUUUUGCAUUUUUUUAAUCCGAAUUGUAUAAGCAUGAACAUAUAUUGGACUGAUUGAAUACAUCUUGUGAAUGGCUCGAGUCUAGUGUUAAGUAGUUUAACAAAUUCAUGUUAUGUUUGGUUCCUAAUCCUGUAGAUGUUAAUGCUAGGAUGAUUUAGCUAGUAAUUGAAAGUUAAAACAUAUCCAGACAUUGUUGAUUCAAAACUUUUCAAAUCGAAUAAGGAGCAGUCAACUUGUAGGCAAUAUGAUUUCCAUCUAAGUUUCUAGCCCGUGUUCGCUCAUUAAAUUGAUUAGUAGUUGUUUUAGUUAUGAAUUGUUUAGCGGCAUUUGAAUUAAUUUGAAAUAAGAGAAGUCUAAUUAGUCAUGUUUGAUUAAUGGGCUUCAAAGGAUAAAGUUGCUAAGCCUAAUAUCUGUAGUUCGUGAGUUUGGUUGAAAAAUAAGCUUUGGUGCAGUCAACUCAGGGAAUCGACCCCAAGACCUCCUGCUUGAGGUUUGUUGGGUUUAAGCUGAGAAACCGCAUGUCUGUCCAGUUUGGGCCUCAAUCUACGCCCAUAUGUCCUCUCAGCUUGGUCUUUUGGGCCUGCCAUUUGGGCCAAUCUGAAAUUCCAUUCAAGGUUUAAAUAGCAUGAACUUUGGUUUUGAGUUAGGUAACGGGUUUUAAAUUAAAGGUUCAUCAUUUUAUUUGGACCCGGACUUGAACUUGAAGCCCAAGAUUUAAUAAUAAUUUAAUUAGGACUUUCUUCUUUUCUUUUAGAGACAAAAAUCAAAAAAUAGAAAAAUCAUAGUCGAUUUUUUAGGCUUGCCUUUUAAAAUGAAAUGAGAUGAGGCUCGCCCAAUAAAAGUGCCAAAAUGCGGGGCCCUCAAAAAAGGUUUUAAAAAAUAUUUAGAUAAUCGGAAGGGCUAUUUAGCAAAUUUCAUGACCCUCCCAAAAAAUUACAACGCGUUAGACCCCAUUAAGCGUGAUUUAAAUAAUUUUACCUUCCUAAAUUUGGGUGGGAAUUUAUGCGGCCCAAAUCCAAAUCCUAAAAUGUUAAAUAGAGUGUGUCUAGGAUUGCGGGUUCAGUUGAUGCGGCGCAAUCCGAAAACACAUUUUAAACGACGUUCACUUUCUUAAAGAAAUAAAUAUCAAAAAAGCGCUAAAAAGUAAAAAUUGGUAAUAGGUUCUUCAUGUAAUUAAAUCAGUUAAAAGCUAAAUGCAACAAUGAAGCGACCGUGCUAGAACCACGGAACUCGAAAAUGCCUCACACCUUCUCCCGGGUUAACAGAAUUCCUUAUCCGGAUUUCUGGUUCACAGACUGUAACCGAGUAUUUUCCUCGGUUUCGGAUUCAACCGGUGACUUUGGACACCAUUAAUCUCCCAAGUGGCGACUCUUUAUAAAUGAUAAUAAAUCCCGUUCCGAUAGUCCUUUAAGUGAGAAAACUGCUUUACGCCCCUUUGCGGGGGUGUACAACAAAAAAGGAGGCGUGACAGUUAUGAUGACUCUGUUGGGGACAAGAACCCAGAAUCUCUGGUUCAGGGUUCAGAAUUCGAGGUUAGAAUAAUUGUUGUGUUUAGUUUUAUCUGAUUUUGCUACAUGUUAUGUGCUUAAUGUGCUAAUUGAUUGCUUUUACCGCUUUGAUAUUACGUGAACUAUAUAUAAACUGUGCCAAACCGAAUCUCCUCUCUGAGUCUUCUGAAUUGGGAAGAAGGGUGUACGGUGUACAAAUUCUUCUCUGUCUAGUAUCAAAAUCCCAAUUUAGAACGAGGUUCGGAUAAGUCGCAAAGCCGGUGAAGCUUCUGUAUUCCCGGAUUGCCACCUCCCCCUCGGCUCGAGCCGUCCGCUCAGGUAAGCUAGGUAUAGAACAAACACCCAGGUUUUGACCCUAGAAUAACUUAACCUCAUGCCGGAUCCGUAGUAGGAACGCUUAUCUGCAUCAUGUGCAUUUUGACUUAGGGGACUCAACACAUGGGUUGGGUCCGUCUAGGGCUAGCAACCUGAAAUGAAAAGACCAUCCUGAUGCAUCCUACGUGCUUUUCUGUGCAUUUAUUUGCUCGAUCCUGCAUGUGACCUUCUUUCUAAAUCUCGGGAAGGUUAGAAAAUGAGAAAGGGGGAAAAUAAUGAUUCAGAAAGUUAGCUGAUAAGUUCAGAAAAACCAUUGCCCAAGUAUUGUCGGAGUUCUACCGAAAUUUUGAAGAAAAUAUAAAAAAGAAAAAUAUCUUAUUUUUUAAAUAGUUGUUUCAGAGUCCGUCAUUAUUUUUUAGUUUGUCUUGUUUGGGAAAAUGGAAAAUGAAAAAUAGUUUGUUUUGCCAUAAAAAUGGAAAAACAAAAGGGUUUUUGAUUUUGCUUUCUUGCUUCAAAAUAGUUUAUUUGCCAAUGAAAAUAGGGUAUUUUGUUAAAGAAAAAGAGUCUUUAUUUUUAAUUCGAAAAAUGGUGGUGGAAAAAAGGGUCUUUAUUUUUAAUUUGGAAAAUAGGUUGUUUGUUGAAAUGAAAAGAAAAAUCAUUUUUUUGUCUUAUAAUAUAAAAGGAAAAAUAGUUUGUUUUGCUAUGAAAAACGAAAAAAAAACAGAGUGUUUGUUUUAAUCAUGUUUUCGAAAAUGAAAUAAAAGAGAAAAAAUAGUUUGUUUUAAAAUAGUUCGGUUAAUUUGCCCGAACUACGCAUGUUUUGAUUCUCACAGGGCAUGAGAUACGUAGGCGACCUUCAUCGGGUCCAACCCUCCGUUUAUAAAAAUAUCCCAAAAAUGUCAAAAUUUUAAUUUUUGCCACAAAUAAGUCAAGUAAGGCCGCUUUGUCAAAAAUAGCCAAAUGUUCCUAGAUGGGACGCCGGAAGGCUGAAUUUGCGUAAACGGCCUUCUUGAUAAAAUGUGAAUUUUGAUUGGUUGAAUACACAACCUUUAAAUCUUCGUUUCAGAAGUGCUGAAAGGUCGUGUUUGAAAAUAAAGUCUUUUAUUUUCAAAUUUGAAAACACGCAAAAUAGCAUAUAAACAUGUUUUAUCUCUUUUGAGUCAAAUAAAAUUUUUUCUUUUGCCUAAUCACCUUUAUAAAUGUGCAGGAUGAGCACAAAUCAAAUGAAAUCGUUCUUAGUUUUUAGCGAGGUCCCUCUACAGCUCCACAUGUGGUGGAAUGAUCUGGGAGAUGAUAGUAAAAGAUAGUGGAAAGAAUUUUGGGCAAUCUCGUCGAUCUGUUACUUAUCAAGCCAAAGAUGGAUGUCAUUGAAGCUUUAACACCGCUUUGGGAUCCAACCCGUAAUGUAUUCCUUUUUACAGACUUUGAGCUUACACUCACACUAGAGGAAAUUGCGGGUUAUGCAGGUUUGGACGGGAAAUUGAGGGGUCAAUAUUUGCUUUCACCUAGACCGGUGUCUCCGCAUAGGUUUUUGAAUUUGCUACACAUUAAUUGGAAAGUGCAAGAUGAAGAUCUGUCAAAAGGCUGCUGUACUCUCCAAUUCUUAUAUCAACGGUAUGGUACUCCUCGGGGUUUUGAAGAGCCAUAUCUCGGACUAACUCAUGAUAAGGACAGAAACAAAUGGGAGUCAAGACGUCCUUUAGCUUUCCUGACAGCCUUCAUGGGAAUCAUGGUUUCUCCACGCAAAAAUAAGAAAAUUGAUAUAGGCCUUGUAGGGAUGGCCGACGUUGCAAUCAAAAGGCCUAACAACACUGUGGUCCCUUUUGUAUUAUCUGAAAUAUACCGAGCCUUAACUGUGUGUCGAGAGGGUGGUGAUUUUUUCCAGGAAUGUAAUAUAUUACUUCAGCUAUGGAUACAGGAACAUCUCUGUCAUCGAGUGGGAUACAUGAACCACGGGCUAACUGGAAGGAACUGCAUCAGUGGCUUUUAGAAACGGGUAGCAGGCGUUGAAUUCCCUGGAGGUGUCGAGGCUUGGUUCGCACGAUUGAGGUCAUUAACAACUAAUCAAGUUGAAUGGGCAUUUGGGUGGUUGCCGGAUACCGAGGUAAUACACAUGGCGGCCGAAGAAUGUCAUCUUCUUUUGAUGGAGGUUCGCACCAUCCAGCCCUACGCUCCUCAUCGAGUAUUACGCUAGCUAGGAAGGUUCCAAACAAUCCCCACUGACGUGGGUUUGAGCAAGCAUGCCAUUGAGUUAAGUCCAGGGGCCUCAUUUCCCGAAAAGGUAGUUCAAAAGCUAUGGAAUGAGUGUAGAUUUCUUGAGUCAAAAACCAUGGUUCAAGAACGAGCUAAAGGAGAAGUAGAUCCGAAGUACGAGCUAAAGGAGAACGAGAUAGGGUCAAAGCCAUUUCUCAUGCCAUUGUGAGAAGAUGCUGGGCGUGUGAACAUAUGACUGUUACUACCUUUGUCCUAGCUGUAGUGGUCUUUGUUAAACGAACUUUGCUUGAAUUAGAGCAUCUUGAACACGAUUUGGAACCCAGGUCCGCGUCGAGGCCGAAUGACGACCCGCAGACACCUAAGUUUGAGUCAUUAGAGUAUGCGUAGGUUGUGUCUGUAUCUUUUUUUUAUUGAGUCCGUUUGUCAGUUGUUUUUCAUGUCAAGAUGAGUCUGUAGUUUGAAGUUGGUACUUGGUCUUAGUUUGUGUCUGUCAUUUCUUUCGCAAAAUGUUUAGUUUGUAAUAGCUUGUGUUUGCAAUUAAAAUUUGAAAAUCCCAAAAAUAUUUUCUUUUUAUUUUUGCAUUUAUUUUCACGAACUACGCUUGGUCUAAUUCAUGUGGGGUCACAAUACGUAGGCCAUCUUCAUAGGAUUCGACCAUAGCCUUAAAUAAAAGAGAAAAAAAGAGAAAAGAAUUGGAGGUAAAAGAAGGGAAAGAAAGAUAAAUGGAAAACAAAGGCGAGAAUAAAAGAAAAAAAGAAAGAAAAGAAGAGCGGGAAAACCAGGGUAAAAAUAAGAGCGGAAAAGAGCAAGAGUGGAAAAACAAAGGUGAGACUAAGAAAGGGAAAGAAAAGAGCAGAAUAGAGUAAGAAAAUGAAAAGGAAUGCCAGGAUGAUACAUGUGGACGAACAAAUGCAUUAUAGAAAUGAUUAACUGUAUAGGUGCAUUCCUGCCAACGUGCAGUUAUCAAAUAUGUUAAAACUAAUCAUUAGCCAAGUGGUUUUUUAAAUGUGUGAGUCCAGGCAUGUGGUUAGUUGAUUAGCAAUUCUGGCAACUCACCAUUACAACACCCGGUCGAAGGACAAAAAAAUGACUGGACAUGACUCGGAUACUAGUAUAAUGGACCCUACGAAAGAGGUCGAGGUGAUAGAUGUGGGGGAUAUGAAAGAAGAAAUGAAGAAGUUUAAAGCCCAAAUGAAGGCCAUGCACCGGGCUUGGUCUCAGGGGCACCCAGCACCAUUAUACCAUGCUAACCCCUCUUAUAUCCCGCACCUAGCGCAGGCUCAGGAAUCUUCCACUCCCGAAACAUCUCCCACCCUUCCAGUAUAACACCCAAGGGUAUGCCACUACUUCAUAUGCUCCACCGGCUCCACCANNNNNNNNNNNNNNNNNNNNNNNNNNNCAAGGCGAGUCCAAAAGACAACUUUCCAUUGCCAAACAUCCACAUAUUGAUCGACAAUUGUGCCAAACAUGAGAUUGGUUCUUUUGUGGAUUGAUAUGUGGAUUUCAAACAAAAUCCUCCUCUGCCAGUGGCCCACUCCUCCAGUUCCAUUGCAAAGGUCCUCUAGUGAACCACUAUUCCAAGCCCAUGACGCCCAAUAUUACCCGCCUGAGCCCACCUUUAAGGCUCCUGACCGUGCUCAUAUACCCCUCACUUUGAGAUCCCAGAAGAAGUCCAAAAACCAGUUAAAAAUUCAGAGCAUGAGCAAGUGAUCAGAAAAUUCAAAAGCCUGGAGCAAUCCUUCAGGAACCUUUGAGAUCCUAGAAGAAGUCCAGAAACCAGUUAAGAAAACAGAGCAUGAGGAAGUGAUCAGAAGAUUCAAAAUCCUGGAGCAAUCCUUCAGGAACAUGCACGGAUUGGGCAGUCAGGUCAGUGUUGCCUAUAAGGAUUUAUGCCCUUUUCCGGAUGUCCAGUUGCCCACGGGAUUCAAGAUUCUUAAAUUUGACCUGUACGAGGGACAAUGUGACCCGGUACCUUACCUCCGAGGAUUCUGAAGUAAGAUGAAGAGGUGCUGGGGGAAAAUUGAAUUACUGAUAGCCUACUUUGGUCAGCCUGAGCGGGUAUGCAUUGGAAUGGUACACCAGACAGGACCCUAGUCGAUGGUACACCUGGAAUGAUCUGGCACAAGCGUUCAUUGUCCAUUUCCAAUAAUACCUCGAGAUAGUCCCUGAUCGUCUAUCAUUGUUGAAUUUUGAGAAGAAGCCGGGAGAAAGCUUUAGAGAAUUUGUGUUCAGAUCGAGAGAGCAAGCUGGCAGAGUGGAUCUCUCAAUGAGAGAAAAUGAGAUGGUAGAUUAUUUUUUGCAAACGUUGGAGCCGACAUGCUUCGGUCACCUAGUGGAUUUCUGUGGGUAAAUCAUUCAAUGAGGUAGUGAAGAUGGGCGCCAUGAUUGAAGAGGGUUUAAAGUCCAACAAAAUGUUGAGUUAUUCAGCACUGAAAGCAACAACGCAGGCUAUACAAAGCGGCACUGGGGUGUGCUAGGUAAGAAGAAGAACGAAAAAAUGGCCACCUUGAGUUAUUCAACACUGAAAGCAACCACGCAGGCUAUACAAAGCGGCACUGGUGGUGUGCUAGGUAAGAAGAAGAAGGAAGAAGUGGCCAUAGUGGAAGCUAGCACCUAGUCGAGGCCCAGCAAUCCCCCACCCUACUAUAGCCAACCAAGACCCCACCACCCAAACUAUCCAUAUACUCCAUAUGGCCCACAACAACACUACUACCCUCCACCAGAACCACACUUCUCUGUCCACCAUGCCCAAACAUAUACGCAGCCUCCGGCACAUCCACAAUGGCGUGCGCUGGCUUCCCAAAACACAUAUACACCCCCACAAAACACCCAUCCACACCCCAGGGCUAACAAACCAGGACUCGGCUUCUGCCCGAACUAAAAUGUUCGAAAUAAGAGGGCCCCAAACAAAAGAACUUUUACCCUAUUGGGAGAAUCUUACACCGCUUUAUUCCAUAGACUGAAGCAGUUGGGAAUGUUAACCCUAAUCGAGCCCAAAGUACCAAACCCACCUCCCAGAAACCUGGACCAGUCCGUCAGCUGUGAGUAUUGCUCAGGAAUGCAUGGGCAUGAGACUGAAAAAUGUUGGAAGUUGAAGAAUGCAAUAAAAGAUCUCAUUGACAACUGCCGUAUUGAAGUGCAGGCUCGGAGGCGCCAAAAAUCAAUCUGAACCCACUAGGAAUGCCUGGGCAUGAGACUGAAAAAUGUUGGAAGUUGAAGAAUGCAGUACAUGAGCUCAUUGGCAGCCGCCAUAUUAAAUGCAGGCCGCAGAGGCGCCAAACAUUAAUCAGAACCCACUGCCAGCACAUCACGAUACCAACAUGAUUGAGUUGGUGCACAAGGAUGGGGAGGUGAAGAAACCCUCAAAAACCAUAGUGAUGAUUCGUGCUGUUGAGACCAGUUCAAAUGAGAAGCCGACCGAGGAACAGGCAGGGGUGAAGUUGAAAGAUACAAGUGACAAGCCAGUGAUGGGGAAAGAAUUAUCUGUUAUUGCAAAGAAACCAGAACUAAUUAAGUUGGUGUACCAGGACGUCACCCGCGCCCGUGGUUGUUGUGAAGGGUGCUUACAUAGAGCCAGUGAUCAUCAACCCAGUAGUCCAGCUACCCAUGGUUGACAGCAAAGCUGUGCCUUGGAAAUAUGAGAAGGUGAUAGUAACGUGCAAAGGAAAAGCGAUCUAGGGGGAGAGCUGUGAGGCGCAAGGGUUGACUCGAUCAGGGCAUUGCUUCGCUCCUGAGGAGUUGAGAAAGGCUAGGGCUACUAAAGACAGUCCAGCGUUGGUGAAAAAGGCUGUUGCAGAGGAGGAAGCAAAGGAGUUUCUAAAAAAGAUGAAGGUACAAGACUAUUCUAUUGUCGAGCAGCUGAGGAAAACACCGGCCUAGAUUUUGAUAUUGUCAUUGUUGAUACACUUUAUUGAACAUCGCCGAGCUUUGAUGAAAAUAUUAAAUAAAGCCCAUGUACCUGAUAAGAUUUCAGUGACCUACUUGGAGACAAUUGCUAGUAGGAUCUUUGAGGUAAACAGGAAAACGUUUUCGGAUGAUAAGUUGCCCGUGGAAGGAACAAAGCAUAAUAAAGCCCUUUACUUGACAGUCAAAUGUGAAGAUUCAGUGGUGACCAGAGCAUUGGUAGAUAAUUGGUCUAGUGCAAAUAUUUGCCCGAUAUCGACAUUGAACAAGCUAAAGAUCGAUAAUGACAGAAUACGCAGAAAUAGUGUGUGUGUCCAAGGUUUUGACGGGGGCAGAACAGACACGGUGGGGGACAUUAUCCUCGAGAUAACCAUUGGCCCACUUGAGUUUACCAUUGAGUUUCAAGUGUUGGACGAUGCGGUAUCAUACAAUCUAUUAUUGGGACGAAUAUGGAUCCAUGCGGCCAAAGCAGUGCCUUCCUCGCUGCAUCAAAUGGUCAAAUUUUAAUGGGACCGGCAAGAGGUGGUGCUACAUGGAGAAGACCCCACAAGUGUUGCGGGUGGUGAUAUUGUGCGUUUUGUAGAAACUGAUGACGAUAAAGGGCCAUGGGUCUAUCAGGUUUUUGACAUGAUCACUGUGAACAAAGUACCAGAGGGUAAAAGCAUCCCACGUCCUUGAGUAGCAACUGCAACCGUCAUGGUGGUUUAAGAAAUGAUGGGUAAUGGGUUUGUCCCGGGAAAAGGUCUGGGUGCCAAGCUUCAGGGCAUUGUUUAACCCGUGUCCUUGCCCAAGAAUUUAGAUACUUUCGGGCUGGGAUUCAAGCCAACAACAAUAGAUAUCAGAAGGGUCCGCAAGUUGAAAAAGAAAGCUUGGGUUCUCCCAAAACCAAUUCCACGUCUGUCCAAAUCCUUUGUCAGGUCGAGGGCUGAAAAUCAGUUAGCAACGUAGGUGACAGGUUCAUUAAUUGAAGAGAGGGGAAUCUGGAUGAAGGGUUUGAGAGGGUAUUUGCCGAAGUAAACAUGGUUCGUGCCGGUGAAGGUUCCAGUAAUGCAGACAUUCAGUACGUUGGGCCACAUGCUAGGAUCAAUAAUUGGGAAGCCACUCCUCUGCCAGUUCGGAGGGAGGCGGGGUAGUGGGAAUUUGUUUUUCCUUUUGUUUUCACGUGGAUUAUUCCUGGAUUUGUAAUUCUUGUGACUAUGUUCCGUCGAUUUGGAUGAGCUAAGCCUUGUUAUCUUUACGUUUUAAUGAAAUGCAAUUUCCUUCUUAUUUCCUAAUUUUUUUUCCAUUUUUCUUUUCUUUUCUGUACAGUUCUUUUUAUGCUGAUAUCAAUGACAUGACAUGCAUGAGGACUUGUUGGCGCGGUCUUAUAAGCCAACCUAACUCGGAAAUAAUAAUACAAUAAAUUGAAUGUGAUGAUGAAGAGGAAUAUGAUGAUGAUGAAGCCUAUGAGGAAAUUAGUAAGGAAUUAAAACAUUUUGAAGAAAAACCAAAACCGAACUUAAAUGACACAGAAGUAGUUAACCUAGGGACCAAGAUAAUGUCCAUGAAACUAAAAUAACACUUUGAGGAAGAACCCAAACCGAACUUAAAUGAUAUAGAAGCGUUUAAUUUUGUGGUCCAAGAUAAUGUCCAAGAAACUAAAAUAAUUGUUCAUCUAGAGCUGCAACUCAAGGAAGAAAUACUCGAGGCAUUAUUGGAAUAUAAAGACUCUUUUGCUUGGUCCUAUGAUGAUAUGCCAGGGGUGUGUACUGAUUCAGUGGCUCACAAGCUGCCUACUGAUCCAUCACUCCCACCUAUUAAGCAGAAACUGAGGAAGUUCAAAACAGACAUAAGUGUGAAGAUUAAAGAAGAGAUCACUAAGCAGUUUGAUGCAAAGGUUAUUCGGGUUACCUGGUAUCCCACCUGGUUAGCUAAUAUUGUGCCUGUACCAAAGAAAGAUGGUAAAACCAGGGUGUGCGUGGAUUAUCGAGAUCUCAACAAGGCGAGUCCAAAAGACAACUUUCCAUUGCCAAACAUCCACAUAUUGAUCGACAAUUGUGCCAAACAUGAGAUUGGUUCUUUUGUGGAUUGAUAUGUGGAUUACCAUCAUAUCUUAAUGGACGAGGAGGAUGCAUAGAAGACGACAUCCAUCAUGCCGUAGGGAACAUACUUCUAUUGGGUCAUGCCAUUUGGUUUGAAAAAUGUCGGGGCAACUUACAUGAGGGCCAUGAAAUCGAUCUUCCAUGAUAUGAUACAUAAAGAGAUUGAAGUGUACGUAGAUGAUAUGAUUGUGAAAUCAAGGAAGCAUUCUGAUCAUGUCAGGGAUUUGAGGAAAUUCUUUCAAAGGCUACGCAGGUGCAAUCUAAAGCUCAAUCCUCCAAAGUGCGCUUUCGGGGUGCCAUCUGGAAAGUUUCUACGGUUUGUAGUCAGUCGCUGGGGUAUUGAAUUGGAUCCAUCGAAGAUUAAGGCCAUUCAGGAAUUGCCUCCUCCGAAAAACUAAACCGAUGUGAUGAGUUUGUUGGGAAGAUUAAACUACAUUAUCAAGUUCAUUGCUCAGCUUACAACUACUUGUGAAGCCAUUUUCAAAUUGCUAAAUAAAGAUGCCGUGGUUAGAUGGACGGAUGAAUGUCAGAAAGCUUUUGAUAAGAUUAAGGAAUAUUUGUCAAACCCGCCCGUGUUGGUUUCGCCAGAACUAGGGAGGCCUUUGAUUCUGUAUAUGACAUUCUUGGAUAAUUCAUUUUGCUGCGUACUGGGGCAGCAUGACAUCACAGGAAGGAAGGAGCAGGCGAUCUACUAUCUCAGCAAGAAUUUUACAUCUUACGAGGUUAAGUAUUCUCAUCUUGAGAGGACGUGUUGCGCCCUAACUUGGGUGGCACAGAAGUUGAAACAUUAUUUGUCGUCCUACACUACAUACAUCAUAUCUUGGUUAGAUCCACCGAAGUAUAUUUUCCAGAAGCCUAUGCCCACGGGAAGGCUCACAAAGUGGUAGAUCUUGCUUACAGAGUUUGAUAUUAUCUAUGUGAACCGGACUGCAAUGAAAGCCCAGGCUUUAGCUGAUCACUUGGCUGAGAAUCCGGUUGAUGAUGAUUAUGAGCCUUUGAAAAAUUAUUUCUCCGAUGAAGAGGUAAUGCAUAUAGAUGAGUUGGAAUAGAUAGAGAAACCAGGAUGGAAAUUGUUCUUUGAUGGAGCGGCAAAUAUGAAAGGGGUGGGAAUAGGAGCUGUAAUUAUUUUCAAAAUAGGUCAGGACUAUCCUGUUACGGCUCAGCUACGUUUUUAUUGUACGAAAAACAUGACGGAAUAUGAAGCAUGCAUUUUGGGCUUGAGAUUGGCUAUGGAUAUGGGUGUCCGGGAAAUCUUGGUCAUGGGUGACUCGAACUUACUGGUACAACAAAUUCAGGGAGACUGGAAACCACGAGAUAUUAAAUUAAUACCUUCCGGACAGUGCCUGCAUGAGCUUUGUCAAUGGUUUCAGUCCAUGCAUUGUCAAUGGUUUCAGUCAAUAGAAUUCAGACACAUCCCAAGGAUUCAUAAUGAGGUUGCCGACGCUUUGUCUACUUUGGCGUCAUGUUGCAUCAUCCAGACAAGACUUACGUAGAUCCAUUGCAGAUUCAGGUGUAUGAUCAAAAUACUUAUUGUAAUGUGGUAGAAGAGGAACUUGACGAUGAGCCGUGGUUUCAUGACAUCAUGGAAUACAUCAGGAUGGGAAUAUAUCCAGCACAUGCCACAAGUGAUAAAAAAAGGACUAUUCAUCGAUUGGCAAGCAGAUUUCCUGAGUGGCGGAGUAUUGUACAAAAGAAUGCUAGAUCUCGGAUUAUUGAGGUGCAUGGAUGUGAGGCAAGCCACAACUAUCAUGACUGAGGUACAUUCUGGAGUCUGUGGACCGCACAUGAGCGGAUAUGUUUUUGCAAAAAAGAUUUUGCGGGAAGGGUAUUAUUGGCUUACAAUGGAGCGGGAUUGUAUUAGUUUUGUACGAAAAUGUGAUCAGUUCCAAGUGCAUGGAGAUGGGUAUUAUUGGCUUACAAUGGAGCAGGAUUGUAUCAGCUUUGUACGCAAAUGUCAUCAAUGCCAAGUGCAUGGAGAUUUGAUUCAUUUUCCACCGUCAGAAUUGCAUACGAUGUCAGUUCCAAUGCCUUUUGUUGCUGGGGGCAUGGACGUUAUUGGGCCGAUCGAUCCGGCAGCAUCAAAUGGGCACAAGUUUAUCCUGGUUGCAAUAGAUUAUUUUACCAAGUGGGUGGAAGCGAAGACGUUCAAGUCUGUGACUAAGAAAACUGUGGUGGAUUUUGUGCAUGCGAACAUUAUUUGUCGGUUUGGUAUACCAAAGGUGAUUAUCACGGACAAUGGGGCUAAUCUCAGCAUUCAGUUGAUGAAGGAAACGUGUGAGCAGUUCAAGGUUACUCAUCGUCAUUCCACUCUGUACCUCCCUAAGGCAAAUGGUGCGGUUGAAGCAGCAAACAAGAACAUAAAGAAAAUAUUGCGGAAAUUGGUUGAAGGGUCUAGACAGUGGCAUGAGAAGUUGCCUUUCACAUUGUUGGGAUAUCGCACCACCGUUUGUACUUUGGUGGGGGAAACUCCUUAUUCAUUGGUAUAUGGCACCGAGGCAGUAAUACCCACCGAAGUGGAGAUCCCGUCACUUCGAAUAAUUGCGCAAGCUGAAAUCGACGAUGAUGAAUGGGUAAAGACCCGUCUGGAACAAUUGAGCUUGAUCGAUGAGAAAAGGUUAUCAUCAGUGUGCUAUGGGCAAUUGUACCAACGAAGGAUGGCAAGAGCGUACAAUAAGAAAGUACGUUCGAGGAAAUUCGAAGACGGACAGUUAGUUUUGAGGCGGAUUUUGCCUCAUUGGGCUGAAGCAAAAGGAAAAUUCGCCCCGAACUGGCAGGGGCCAUUUGUAGUAACCAGGGUGUUGUCUAAUGGUGCAUUGUAUUUGACAAAUGCAGAAGGGAAAUGCGUAGAAAUUACCAUCAAUUAUGAUGUUGUCAAGAGAUAUUAUAUAUGAUUUCUUUAUUGUGAAUGUACUUGCUUGUAUUUGGCAUACUUCAAAGAUUGAAAUGAAGAAGGCAUUUUGUGCUGCUAUCCAUAUUAAUUCUGAUGCGGUCAAGAGAUAUUACGUAUGAUUUCUUUAUUCUGAAUCUACUCGCUUGUGUUUGGCAUAUUUUAAAGAUUGAAAUGAAGAAGGCAUUUUGUUCUUCUAUCCAAACACUUUUAUCCUUUGUUACCCCGUUGAGCCUUAAUUAUUUUCGUUCAUACCCCUCUUUCGGAAUAAGCGGCACAAUCAAGAAACGCAGGUGCCGAGCAUAAAGCAAAGAAAAAAAGAAAAUAAAAAUAGAGAAAAAGAAAGGAAAUGAAGAAAAAAAGAAAAAAAAAGAAAAGAAAGGAAAAGAAAAGAAAAAGAAAAGAAAAGAAAUAAACAAAAUGAAAAGAAAAGAAAAGAAAAGAAAAGAAAAGAAAAUGAGAAUAGAAGAAAAGAAAAAUCACAACAAAGGUAAUCAUGAUAAAGUGAACUACGUUUGACUUGAUCCCGAAAAGGUACGUAGGCAGCCUUACUCCAAGGUUCAGUCAUACCAAAAUAAAACUCCAAAAGUCCACAAGCAAAAACUAUGGCAGAAGUUGUGGUUCGUUUUGAGAAAUUGGAUCCUGAAAGUUGUAAUGAUAACCCAUUUUGAAAUUGUUUUGAGCCUUUUAUAUCAUUCUCUCUAACCCAUCCAAAAGCCUACAUUACGGUCCAAAGAAAGACCAUCUGAUCAAUUUUUGAGAAAAUGCCAUGUCGAGCAGGGAAAUGUGAUUCGCAAUAGGGGCAACCCUUUGGUCCAAGCCAGAAAGUAGAAAAUGAAAUGAGAGAGUCUUAGUGGUGAAAACCUUCAUGGGAACCCUAGGGUGAAAGGGAGUUUGAGAAGCGGCAAACUGAGAAAGGUCCGUUGGUGAAAUACUGUUCGCUGCAUCGUAGGAUAAAUGAGGUUAAGGUUAGGGUAAAGUAAUCAAGUGAUGGAAGUUCUGGGAAAUGAAGUAUGACAAUUGAAGAGCUGUUUAGUUGGAUCGGUUGGGCCGAUUAAUCCGAAAUGCAUGUCGUGAUCACUAGUGCCAGCUGUUCCAGUCAGAUAAGUUUCUUUACUUUUCCUUUUCAACAAUCAUCUGGUUUUGGAUUCGUUUAUCCUUAACUCAUAAAAUUAUUUCAUUUCAUUCUCUGUCGGGGGUUUCAGUUUGUAAAAAAUGUUUCAAUGUCAGUUUUUUUAAAUGAAAGGGGAAAGGAUUUUAAAGCCCACUACCAACUUCCGAAAAUUGUAAAGCGUAAUGUGGCUAGAGCAUGUCAGCAACAAUGUGAUGCAAAGUGAAAUAAGGGAAGUCGCCAGAAGUUCCAUUGACAGAAUAUUUGGGAAGUGUUAUGGGAAAUGUGAAGGUUCAGGCAAAAGAGUCGGAAAGGUGAAACAAUAGUGGGAGUACAAAAGCAUUCAGGUUGUCAGAAAUUGGGAAAUGUGAAAGUCGGUCAGAAAGUCAGACAGUUCAGAGGAAGUUAGGCAACACAAAGCAAGGCAAUAGAAGGAUGAUGCACCAAAAGUGGCAUCAACUAACCACCAUUUUUAAUCUAACAAAAUUUUCUGGUGAUUGAAACAGGGGCAGAAAACUGUUUGGAAGGAGGAAUUCUCCGUGAAAGAAAAGCGGGCAGUAAUCAAGUUUGAUCGCAAGUGUGGCUAGAGGAAAAUUCAAGAAAACAAGGAGCGACUUGAAGAGAUGUUGAGGUCAGGAGCCCGCUUGAAAAACAGAGGAGUGCAUUUCGGUCUUUAAAUUUUAAAGUUACACUUUGGUCCUAUCGUUCAAGUUUUGGUUUCAAUCCUCAUUAGUAUGUGGUAAGAAGCCCCAGUUUCACCAAACUGGGGCAGAAAGUUCUCUUUGUUUUAUUUAUUUUUGUGAAAUCAGGAGUCCGCUUGGAGAACAGAGACAUACAAUUAAAAAUUUAGAAGUCAGGAGCCCGCCUGAAGAACAGAGGCAUGCAAUCCAAAUUUUAGCAAUCAGGAGCCCUCCUGAAGAACAUAGGUGAUACAAUUCAAGUUAAUAGUUUUAAAUCAAUUCCUUCGUUUAUUUUGGUAGUCAGGAGUUCGCCUGGAGAACAGAGACACAUGCUUCAAGUCAGAAGUCAGGAGUCCGCUUGAAGAAUAGAGACAUGCAUUUAGAAUUUUGGGAAGUCAGGAGUCUGCCUGCAGAACAGAGACAUAUGCUUCAAGUUAGCAGUCAGGAGUCCUUCUGAAGAAUAGAGACAUACAAUGCAAGUUUGGAGUCAGGAGCCUGCCUGAAAAAUAGAGGUGAUAUAAUUCCAAUUUUAGUUUUCAAUCAAUUUUCUUGUUUAUUUUGAAGUCAGGAGUCCGCCUGGAGAACAGAGACAUACAAUUCUAAUUUCAUAAGUCAGGAGUCCGCCUGUAGAAUAGAGACAUGCAUUUAGAAUUCUGGAAGUCAGGAGUCCAUUUGGAGAAUAUUGACAUGCAAUUGGAAUUUUGGAAGUCAAGAGAAAAGAGACAUACAGUGCAAAUUUUAGAAGUCAGGACCCCGCCAGGAUAAUAGAGGAAUACAUUCUAUUUCAAGUUCAGUAGUUAGGAGUCCGCCUGGAGAAUAGAGACAUACAAUUCAAAUUUUAGCAGUCAGGAGCCUGCCUGGAGAAUGGAGGUGUUAAAUUUUAUGUUGAUGUUGAAGUCAGGAGCCCACCUGAGAACAAAGGUAUAUGAUUCAAGCUUCGAAAUCAGGAGCCCGCCUGUAUAACAGAGGUAUUUCAAGUUAAGUUUUAGUCAAAAUUCUUAUUUAUAUAUGGUAACAAGCACCCACUUUUCCAAACUGGGGCAGAAAGUUUUCUUUGUUUUGUCUAUUUUCAUGUAGUCAGGAGCCCUCCUGGAUAAUAGAGGAACACAGUCAGGUUCAAGUGCAGCAAUCAGGAGCCCGCCUGGACAACAGAGGAAUACAGUCAAGUUCAAGUUUAUUCAAGUUCAGCAAUUUGCAGGGAAGGAACAACACCUCUGUUCAUGAUUUGAAGUAAAACCAAGGAAUUUCACCAAGGGAACACACGACAACAAGGAAGUGCAAGAGCAAGUUUGAAGAUUUAGAUAGGACUUUUUGUAAUUCAUAGUUCAUAGCAUAAGCUAGCUUCUUUUAUUUUCGACAUGGUGUAAUAAGGAAGGUCAGCGAGCAGCAGCAGCAGCAGCAAGCGCAGUGAAAUCACAGCUCCUGGUAGUCCAAGCUACCAGACACUCCCGAACUACACUGACCAGAUUCCUGUUUAGCCCAGGAUAUGUAGGCAUUAUUUGAAGCAGGGUGCGGUCAAAACUUUUCAAUAUGCUUCACAACUGAAUAUUUGAACAGGCAAAAAUCGCUCGUAUUUGAUCACUUAUCUUUGCCCGAAAACAUUUCAUGUUUCCGAGCAAAGAGGGCCAGCUGUGAGCACAUGAUUUUUGCCCUAUAUAUGAAUUAUUCCCACAAAAUUCAAACAAAAGAUUUUUCUUUAUUUUUACAAUUUUUUGUGAAUUUUGGUGUCAUUUUGUGUUAAGUGUUUGCAUUUUAUUUGUGCAUGUUAAUUCAUAUGAAAUACAAAAUACGCAUUUGCAUUUAGGCUUUAAUAUUUUAGGAUUAGUUAGGUGUUAAUUUGUUUUGGCUCAAAAUAUGAAAAUUUAUGCAAAAUUAGUUCAUUUUGCAUUUUAGUUGUUAAUUGUUUAGUUUGUCGCGAAAUAGAUUUUAACAUAAUUUUAGGAAUUAAAUUAGUUUAAUUUUUGAAAUAAUUAGAUCUUUAUCUUUAUUUUUGUAUUGUGUAUAAAAAUCAGAAAAUAUGAAAAGAAUAUAAAAUGAAAAAAAAACACCAAAGGAAAUGAAGGGAAAACUAAUAGAAAAGAGAGAAAAGACGAGGGUCUUCUUAAAUUGGGCAAUUUUUAUUGCCAGCCCAAGUCUUCCCCCCCAAAACUACACCUGAACCGGCCCAAACAAAUUCCCAAACCAGUCCGAUUAUUAAUCAGCCAAACGAUGCCGUUUUCCAUAUGCAAUCCUAGCCCUCAAUUCUCGAUCUAACGGUCGAGAUUGUCCUAGGUUUCCCAUAUAAAGCUGUCCGAACAAACGCCCCCCACCCCUAUUUCCAGUCAUCUUCUCAAACAACGAACCCUAAUCCCUCCGCCACCAAAUCCCACCGCCCUAGGGUGGCGGCGCCACCUCUAAUCACCACCAAUAUUACACCCUUCGUCUUCCUCACUCUCCUCUUCUCAUCUAUGGCAAGGAUUUCUUUCGAAUCAAACCCUAGCUGUUCGAAU